rnacentral:lncRNA from 1 species
AUAAAUGCCUGAUCCAGGCAAACUCCCACAGACAGAGCACAAAGCGUUACCCAGGACCCCACUUCUCCCAGCAGCUGGAUAAACAUAUUCGACGACAGACCUUGGCAAGAACUGCAAAGAUGCUCUUGACAAUGGCAUGAAUAAAUAUUAGGUGUUAUCUAGAAUUCACCACAUUUGAGGUCGUGCGCAAAGCCAGAUCAAAGAGAAUGCAGAACAAUAGAAGCAAGAAGGAUCCCAAAUAUAGUGUUGCAACUCUCCUCACCUGCAGGAAGGGGUUGCCCAAGAAGCAUGACACCAGCAUCUGCUUCUGGUGAGAGCUUCAAGCUGUUCCCACUCAUGGUGGAAGAGGAAGAGGAACCAGUUGUGCAGAGAUAACAGCUAUACAUUUCCGAAGACAGAGAAGAGGAAAAAGGAGGGCCAUGGAAAAAGGCAAGAAGGUCCCAUGACCAAGAGAUGACCAGCUCCACAGAGGAAAUGCAGGGCCACUCUCCGACUGGACCCCACUGUGCACAAGGUGAGAAUUCAGCCUGUUUAUCAGGGUUCCCCUUAUUAAAGUAUAUGUCAAA